GCAACAAAAUUCCAGAAAUUCACGUGAACGUGAAGGAGCGUCAAACGCCAUUCUGGAUGCUUUGGCUGCAGGCCAGAUCUCGCUCGGUCACUCACUGUCCGCCGUGCAAGUGAUUCUCUCCGAUGGCCUGUUGUGCCAUCUUGUUCCAUUAGAUGGCACCUUUGCCUGCCCUCUUUGGAGGCCUGGUCCUUUUUUUAUGUGAGCGCAGGAAGUUUCCUUGUAGGACUAUCUGCCACCCUUUGGCCUCAUUUGCAAAACGAGCAAGUAACUGAGAUCAGCUUUCUCGAAUGUGCUGUNAGGCUCCUGCUAUUUACGAUACUCCUGGAACAGGUGAUCCAUCCUUACCUGGACGAUCACAGUGUCCUCUUAGUCCAAAUAUAUGGCUUGAAUGCUGUUUAUACCCCAGAUCCGACUGGAGAUAGAGUGGGCAAGGUGACGCCACGUUCUGGUCAAGUUCUUGAGCUUAAUGAACAGUCACAGCUGGGUUGGACGGCUUUCCCCCUCUUUUACAGGAACUGCGUAAGAAGUGGCUUGCACAGUGCACCGUUGUUCCAAGGGACACCAAGUGCUGAAUUCCUACAGAGCAUCACUGCUCACCCCGUGAAGGACAUCAUGGCUGAACAUCUGCAGGAAAAAAAACUCCGACUUCUCGCGACAUAUGGCAGCGUUGCCGUUGAAAUAUGGGACGGCCAUUUCUUCGACGACGAUCGUCCGGAGUUGCCUGUUCUCAACGAUCUUCUUUCCAUCGACAAGCCAAAGAAAUUUUUGGCAACCCAAACCAGCCGAAAGGGCAAGGAGAUGUCCCAGCUUGUUCUGAAAACUCUGGAUAAGAAAUUAAGAAAACGAGGUUGCGACAGCCUAGAAUACCAGCAGCAAGAACGUUUGUACGCGCAAGCAAUGGGGAACACCUUUUACAANGUGAUGGAAACAGCUUUGCUGAAUGCAGGAUAUGGUCCUUUAUGAUUGAUCAUCUUGAAAAUUGUUGACAAAGGCAAAGGAUCUUUGGAACUGAAAGCUUUUCUAGGCUCCCCGUUACAGCCAAAUAGUACAUGAAGUCUCCGUUGGUGAGUGCAUUGGGGAAAAUACAAACAUAGCAUUUUUAAGAGAAAGUGAAGGUCGUUUUAUUAACACCAGCAUAACCCUUCUUCACAGGAUCUGAAAUAUUUACACUGUAUACCGAAUUAUAAAAUGCAACUAAAAAAAAUCUUUUUUAUUCAUCUUCUGCUUAAAUAUGCAAAAUAAAAUAA
rnacentral:lncRNA from 1 species